rnacentral:rRNA from 1 species
GACGAACCGUGCGAACGUUGUUCGGAAUCACUGGGCUUAAAGGGCGCGUAGGCGGACUAUCAAGUCUGGGGUGAAAUCCCGCGGCUCAACCGUGGAACUGCCUCAGAUACUGACGGUCUCGAGGGAGGUAGGGCAUGCGGAACUGUAGGUGGAGCGGUGAAAUGCGUUGAUAUCUACAGGAACUCCGGUGGCGAAAGCGGCGUGCUGGACCUCUUCUGACGCUGAGGCGCGAAAGCGUGGGGAGCAAACAGG